GAGUUUGAUCCUGGCUCAGAACGAACGCUGGCGGCAGGCCUAACACAUGCAAGUCGAACGCCCUAGCAAUAGGGAGUGGCAGACGGGUGAGUAACGCGUGGGAAUCUACCUUGUGGUACGGAACAACCAAGGGAAACUUUGGCUAAUACCGUAUGAGCCCUUCGGGGGAAAGAUUUAUCGCCAUAAGAUGAGCCCGCGUAGGAUUAGCUAGUUGGUGAGGUAAUGGCUCACCAAGGCGACGAUCCUUAGCUGGUCUGAGAGGAUGACCAGCCACACUGGGACUGAGACACGGCCCAGACUCCUACGGGAGGCAGCAGUGGGGAAUAUUGGACAAUGGGCGCAAGCCUGAUCCAGCCAUGCCGCGUGUGUGAUGAAGGCCUUAGGGUUGUAAAGCACUUUCGCCGAUGAAGAUAAUGACUGUAGUCGGAGAAGAAGCCCCGGC
rnacentral:rRNA from 1 species